rnacentral:rRNA from 1 species
AACGAACGCUGGCGGCAUGCCUAACACAUGCAAGUCGAACGAGACCUUCGGGUCUAGUGGCGCACGGGUGCGUAACGCGUGGGAACCUGCCCUUAGGUUCGGAAUAGCUCCCCGAAAGGGGUGCUAAUACCGGAUAAUGUCUUCGGACCAAAGAUUUAUCGCCUUUGGAUGAGCCCGCGUUGGAUUAGCUAGUUGGUAGGGUAAAAGCCUACCAAGGCGACGAUCCAUAGCUGGUCUGAGAGGAUGAUCAGCCACACUGGGACUGAGACACGGCCCAGACUCCUACGGGAGGCAGCAGUGGGGAAUAUUGGACAAUGGGCGAAAGCCUGAUCCAGCAAUGCCGCGUGAGUGAUGAAGGCCUUAGGGUUGUAAAGCUCUUUUACCCGGGAUGAUAAUGACAGUACCGGGAGAAUAAGCUCCGGCUAACUCCGUG